rnacentral:rRNA from 1 species
AUACGGAGGGUGCAAGCGUUAUCCUGAAUCAUUGGGUUUAAAGGGUCCGUAGGCGGACUAUUAAGUCAGAGGUGAAAUCCCACAGCUCAACUGUGGAACUGCCUUUGAUACUGGUAGUCUUGAGUUAUAUGGAAGUAGAUAGAAUGUGUAGUGUAGCGGUGAAAUGCAUAGAUAUUACACAGAAUACCGAUUGCGAAGGCAGUCUACUACGUAUAUACUGACGCUAAGGGACGAAAGCGUGGGGAGCGAACAGGAUUAGAAACCCCAGUAGUCC